AAAUUCAUUAUUGAAAUCAAUUCUGAAGGAUUAUACCAGUAAAAUGAAAGAGAAAAAGUUUAUUGCUAUAAUCCUGUAAGAAAUGUAAAUGUAAGAUAAAAGGUUGCAUAAGAGAGGAAAUUACAAAUAAAGCAGCAGUUAUAGAAGAGAUAAGUAUAUCCAUAGAUUCAAAUGAGAUUAGCAUUCAAGCUAAAGAUGAUUUUAACUAAAGAUGAGCCAGUUCCAAGAGAAAAUCCCUUUCUGGAUGAUCGGCUGAGAUGGGUUUGACACUGUAACGGUCAUGCCAUCUCAUCCGUCACGACCUUACAGCUUCAGUGGCGACUUCCUCUGUAACGGUCGUAACGUAGCAAAAUUCCUUGGUGGGUAAGUUCCAUCCAGCAUGAACGGUAAAACGAUUCCCUUCUGUCGCUACGCUUGAUUUUGAGAAAUUGUAUAAUCCUUCAAUAUUUGGGUAAGAAGGUAUCGACGGUAAGCCCCUCAGCACGGUUUCCAGGGCUGGC
rnacentral:rRNA from 1 species